AACGUUCGAUCUCCCUUUCUAGAAAAAGUGACUCCGGCACCCCAAGGGGACACAUUAUGUCUGAUAAAACCACUGUCCUACAAUUCAGUGAUCUGUUUCCUCAGUUCCUCCAUCUCAACGCGGCUCAUUUGGUAAGGAGUAACCGAAAUAGGCUGGGUGCCUGGCUGUAGAUCUAUGGUGAAUUCGACUUCUCUGUCCACUAGUAGUAUGGGUAGUUCAUCCGAAAACACAUCUGGGAGGUCUCGGACUACUAGAAUCUCUUGAACAUCAUUCUCUUUCUUGGGUUUGCCUAGUUAGAGAAAACAGUAGGGUUAAAGUACUCGACGAAUAAGAAAACUUGUCAUCAAGGAAUAAGUACUAAAUGAUUU
rnacentral:lncRNA from 1 species